rnacentral:lncRNA from 1 species
UCUUCAUGCUUGGCUACCCUUUUCAUCACUUCCUUUCUCACCACCAUCUAUACCCGCCCCAUUACCUAACCACGAAAUUCCGAGUACCUCUACAGGAAUACCAAACCAAUCACCGUUACAACAUCAAAUUUCCUCUACCGCCCAAACUGCACAUGACACUUCCAUAGAACAGUAGCCUACCAAUACCACUUCUACAAAUUCUAAUUCUCAUUCUAUGCAAACUA